AGAGUUUGAUCCUAGCUCAGGAUGAACGCUGGCGGCGUGUCUAAGGCAUGCAAGUCAAACGGGCUCGCAAGAGUACCGUGGCAAACGGGUGCGUAACACAUUGGUAACCUACCUCCGAGACGGUCAUAACCCGGCGAAAGCCGGGCUAAUAGCCGAUACAUUCCCGACCCACAUGGGUUGGGACGAAAGUCGCAAGACACUUGGAGAGGGGCCUAUGGUCUAUCAGCUAGUUGGUGGGGUAAUGGCUCACCAAGGCUACGACGGAUAGCGGGUGUGAGAGCACGACCCGCCUCAGGGGAACUGAGACACUGUCCCCACUUCUACGGAAGGCUGCAGUCAAGAAUAUUCCUCAAUGGACGAAAGUCUGAAGGAGCGACGCCGCGUGCAGGAAGAAGCCCCUCGGGGUGUAAACUGCUUUUAUUUGGGACGAAUUCUGACGGUACCAAAUGAAUAAGAGGUUCCUAACUCUGUGCCAGCAGGAGCGGUAAUACAGAGACCUCAAGCGUUAUCCGGAUUUACUGGGCGUAAAGGGUCCGCAGGUGGUUUUGAAAGUCUUUCGUAAAAUGGCGACGCUCAACGUCGUCACUGCGGGAGAUACUUCAAAGCUCGAGGCCGGGAGGGGCAAACGGAAUUGCCGGUGUAGUAGUAAAAUGCGUUUAUAUCGGCAAGAACACCAGAGGCGAAGGCGGUUUGCUAGAACGGUCCUGACACUCAGGGACGAAAGCGUGGGGAGCAAAACGGAUUAGAUACCCGUGUAGUCCACGCCCUAAACGAUGGGUACUAGACAUUGGGAGUAUCGACCCUCUCAGUGUCGUUCACCUAAGUUAACACCUUAAGUACCCCGCCUGGGAAGUACGGUCGCAAGACUAAAACUCAAAGGAAUUGACGGGAGUCUGCACAAGCGGUGGAGCAUGUGGUUCAAUUCGACAACAAGCGAGGAACCUUACCAAGGCUUGACAUGGUAGUUUGUAGUUUCCUGGAAACAGGCAAUGACCGUCAAAUCGGAAGCUAUCACAGGUGCUGCAUGGUUGUCGUCAGCUCGUGUCGUGAGAUGUUAGGUUAAGUCCGCUAACGAGCGCAACCCCUAUGUCGUGUUCAAUUGACGCGACAAACUGCAGUCACGAAGACUGAGGAAGGCGGGGAUGACGUCAAAUCAGCAUGGCCCUUAUGCCUUGGGCUACACACGUGCUACAAUGGUGAGUUACAAAGGGGCGCGAAACGGUAACGUGGAGCAAAUCCCAUCAAAACUCACCUCAGUUCAGAUUGGGGUCUGCAACUCGACCCCAUGAAGAAGGAAUCGCUAGUAAACGCGCAUCAGCCUCGGCGCGUUGAAUACGUUCUCAGACUUUGUACACACCGCCCGUCAAGUCAAGCGAGCUGGGAGUUCCUGAAAGUCGGUUGUGCCGGCUCAAGGAAAGCCUAGUGAGAGGGACUAAGUCGUAACAAGGCAUGGGUAGCGGAAGCUGCUCAUG
rnacentral:rRNA from 1 species